rnacentral:rRNA from 1 species
UACGUAGGGUGCGAGCGUUUAAUCGGAAUUACUGGGCGUAAAGCGUGCGCAGGCGGUGAUGUAAGACCGAUGUGAAAUCCCCGGGCUUAACCUGGGAACUGCAUUGGUGACUGCAUCGCUCGAGUAUGGCAGAGGGGGGUAGAAUUCCACGUGUAGCAGUGAAAUGCGUAGAGAUGUGGAGGAAUACCGAUGGCGAAGGCAGCCCCCUGGGUCAAUACUGACGCUCAUGCACGAAAGCGUGGGGAGCAAACAGG